rnacentral:rRNA from 1 species
AUUGAACGCUGGCGGAAUGCUUUACACAUGCAAGUCGAGCGGCAGCACGGGGGCAACCCUGGUGGCGAGCGGCGAACGGGUGAGUAAUACAUCGAAACAUGCCCAGUCGUGGGGGAUAACACUUCGAAAGAAGUGCUAAUACCGCAUACGUCCUGAGGGGGAAAGCGGGGGAUCGCAAGACCUCGCGCGAUUGGAGUGGCCGAUGUCAGAUUAGCUAGUUGGUGGGGUAAAGGCCUACCAAGGCAACGAUCUGUAGCUGGUCUGAGAGGAUGAUCAGCCACACUGGGACUGAGACACGGCCCAGACUCCUACGGGAGGCAGCAGUGGGGAAUUUUGGACAAUGGGGGCAACCCUGAUCCAGCCAUUCCGCGUGAGUGAAGAAGGCCUUCGGGUUGUAAAGCUCUUUCGGCAGGAACGAAACGGUGAGCUCUAACAUAGCUUGCUAAUGACGGUACCUGAAGAAGAAGCACCGGCUAACUACGUG